rnacentral:rRNA from 1 species
CGCUUGCGGCGUGCUAUACAUGCAAGUCGAGCGGACAGAUGGGAGCUUGCUCCCUGAUGUUAGCGGCGGACGGGUGAGUAACACGUGGGUAACCUGCCUGUAAGACUGGGAUAACUCCGGGAAACCGGGGCUAAUACCGGAUGGUUGUUUGAACCGCAUGGUUCAAACAUAAAAGGUGGCUUCGGCUACCACUUACAGAUGGACCCGCGGCGCAUUAGCUAGUUGGUGAGGUAACGGCUCACCAAGGCAACGAUGCGUAGCCGACCUGAGAGGGUGAUCGGCCACACUGGGACUGAGACACGGCCCAGACUCCUACGGGAGGCAGCAGUAGGGAAUCUUCCGCAAUGGACGAAAGUCUGACGGAGCAACGCCGCGUGAGUGAUGAAGGUUUUCGGAUCGUAAAGCUCUGUUGUUAGGGAAGAACAAGUACCGUUCGAAUAGGGCGGUACCUUGACGGUACCUAACCAGAAAGCCACGGCUAACUACGUGCCAGCAGCCGCGGUAAUACGUAGGUGGCAAGCGUUGUCCGGAAUUAUUGGGCGUAAAGGGCUCGCAGGCGGUUUCUUAAGUCUGAUGUGAAAGCCCCCGGCUCAACCGGGGAGGGUCAUUGGAAACUGGGGAACUUGAGUGCAGAAGAGGAGAGUGGAAUUCCACGUGUAGCGGUGAAAUGCGUAGAGAUGUGGAGGAACACCAGUGGCGAAGGCGACUCUCUGGUCUGUAACUGACGCUGAGGAGCGAAAGCGUGGGGAGCGAACAGGAUUAGAUACCCUGGUAGUCCACGCCGUAAACGAUGAGUGCUAAGUGUUAGGGGGUUUCCGCCCCUUAGUGCUGCAGCUAACGCAUUAAGCACUCCGCCUGGGGAGUACGGUCGCAAGACUGAAACUCAAAGGAAUUGACGGGGGCCCGCACAAGCGGUGGAGCAUGUGGGUUUAAUUCGAAGCAACGCGAAGAACCUUACCAGGUCUUGACAUCCUCUGACAAUCCUAGAGAUAGGACGUCCCCUUCGGGGGCAGAGUGACAGGUGGUGCAUGGUUGUCGUCAGCUCGUGUCGUGAGAUGUUGGGUUAAGUCCCGCAACGAGCGCAACCCUUGAUCUUAGUUGCCAGCAUUCAGUUGGGCACUCUAAGGUGACUGCCGGUGACAAACCGGAGGAAGGUGGGGAUGACGUCAAAUCAUCAUGCCCCUUAUGACCUGGGCUACACACGUGCUACAAUGGACAGAACAAAGGGCAGCGAAACCGCGAGGUUAAGCCAAUCCCACAAAUCUGUUCUCAGUUCGGAUCGCAGUCUGCAACUCGACUGCGUGAAGCUGGAAUCGCUAGUAAUCGCGGAUCAGCAUGCCGCGGUGAAUACGUUCCCGGGCCUUGUACACACCGCCCGUCACACCACGAGAGUUUGUAACACCCGAAGUCGGUGAGGUAACCUUUUAGGAGCCAGCCGCCGAAGGUG